GGUUGUGGUAGUUUUUUUCUCACACAUUUGUUAAGUUUUCAAAUGAGCCUGACUCUGCCACAUAUAUUGUAAGGAGCUGGUGAAAGCUUAAAGAUAGAAAGUUGUCUUGAGCUUUUGUGUAUCAGAUAUUAGCUGUCACAGUU
ensembl:snoRNA